rnacentral:rRNA from 1 species
CGGGCGUUAAGUUGCAGGGUAUAGACCCGAAACCCGGUGAUCUAGCCAUGGGCAGGUUGAAGGUUGGGUAACACUAACUGGAGGACCGAACCGACUAAUGUUGAAAAAUUAGCGGAUGACCUGUGGCUGGGGGUGAAAGGCCAAUCAAACCGGGAGAUAGCUGGUUCUCCCCGAAAGCUAUUUAGGUAGCGCCUCGUGAAUUCAUCUCCGGGGGUAGAGCACUGUUUCGGCUAGGGGGCCAUCCCGGCUUACCAACCCGAUGCAAACUGCGAAUACCGGAGAAUGUUAUCACGGGAGACACACGGCGGGUGCUAACGUCCGUCGUGAAGAGGGAAACAACCCAGACCGCCAGCUAAGGUCCCAAAGUCAUGGUUAAGUGGGAAACGAUGUGGGAAGGCCCAGACAGCCAGGAUGUUGGCUUAGAAGCAGCCAUCAUUUAAAGAAAGCGUAAUAGCUCACUGGUCGAGUCGGCCUGCGCGGAAGAUGUAACGGGGCUAAACCAUGCACCGAAGCUGCGGCAGCGACACUGUGUGUUGUUGGGUAGGGGAGCGUUCUGUAAGCCUGCGAAGGUGGCCUGUGAGGG